GGAAACCUGUUCGGGACUCCUUCCUCUGCACAGGGAAGGUCUCUUCUUUCUUUUGCCUGCUAAACUUCCGCUCUUGAACCCACUCCUUUUGUGUCCCCAUCCUCGAUUUCCUUGGCGUGGGGCAACAAACCACACGUAUUACCCCAGACAACCAUGCUGCUUCAAUCUCACAGGUUGAGAGCUCAUUCCCACAAGACUGCCCCCUUAUUUCCGAUGCCAAUUGCAAGCCCCAGGUUUUACCUGUUAUGACUGAAUGACUAUAAAUUGAGGGUCCCAUGGCCCCCUCCUUGUGUUCAACUGAUUUGCUAGAUUGCCUAACAGAACUAGAGGAAACACUAACUUAUGUUUACCGGUUUAUUAUGAAGGCUAUUACAAAGGAUACAGAUGAAGAGAUACAUAGGAUAAGGUAUGUGAGAAGGACUGCAGAGAUUCUAUGCCCUUCCCAGCAGCCUCUGCAUGUUCAGCUAUCAGGAAGCUCUCUACUAAAAAUAGAAAAAUUAGUUGGGCGUGGUGGCAGGCGCCUGUAAUCCCAGCUAUUCAGCAGGCUGAGGCAGGAGAAUUGCUUGAACCUGGGAGGUGAAAGUUGGAGUGAGCCGAGAUCGCCCCACCGCACUCCAGCCUGGGCGACAAGAGCAAAACUCUGUCUCAAAAAAAAAAAAAAAAAAAAAAAAAAAGGAAGUAGUGACACGAAACACUGUCUCCACACUCCACCCUUAUAACCUCCAGCUGGCACCCUGAAUGGUCUGGCCUCUCCCUGGGGGCGGAUAGGGCAGGAGACACUAAAGUAUUAAUUAUCUUUUUUGAUCAUGGCUGUAACUGUUCUGCGCCAUCUUCAACAGGUGAGACUAAGGAGGGAAUCACAGCUAGUCAUCUCAGCCAGGCCAGUAGGGGGCGCAGUGCAGUGAUCAUUCCCUGGGGCCAAGGCUGUCUCCUUGCAGGUUCAUCUCAGCUCUGCAGCAAUGCCUACUUCUUUCCAUCCGCUCCGAGGCUGUUACUAAGUAUGUGGAGCUCCUUUUCAACAACUCGCUUACUACAAAGUCCUGCUCAUUAAAAGGCGAAGGUGGUAGUGGUAGAGGACUAGAUGGGCUAAGUAUUUGCUCAACUGCUCUAUCUUGCUUUGUAACUACCAAACCAUUUCUGGGUGAGAUCAUGGGGACACCAGAUUCUUCACAUCCUUUCCUCAUUUGCUCAAGACGAGAUAAUCACAAACAGAACUUUAAGAAACCACCUGUAUAAACAUACUUGGCGUAUCUUCUGGGAAUGGAAUUAUUGAAUAGUAACCGAUUGUCAGCCUGAACAGGGUGACUUGUUGCCCUCCAGUGGUAAAUUCAAUCAGUGUUUGUACCGUCAACGUCCCCGCUCAAUCACCGUUAAACACUUAGGCAACCAAGUGUCAGCCACAAAGUUAAAAAACAGUCCUUGUUUUCAUGGAGCUUGCCAAAUAAAUAUAAGCAAAUGGUAUAAAAUCCCUUCCCUAGGGAGCAUGCUAGACACACCCGCAGGUACAGACACAGAUGGGGCAUGAUGACUUCUCCACGUGUAUGCAGUGGAGUUCUUUUAGGGAGAUUUCAGAGUGGAUGAUGUACUUUUAUACUACAACAUUUAGAAUAAUCUCUCUAAGUACAAUUCCAGAAUAUUAAAAGUAUUAUAAAAUUUGGGAAUAGACAACAGAGUCAAGUACACAAAAAGCCUAUUAUAUAUUUAAGGACUAUGUUUAGAAAAAAGGGUCCUUUUACUGGAAAGAUAGGAAAAUAGGUUUUUCUUCUUAACUUUGAUGUAUCCAGAAAAUCUGGGAGGGAGGCUCAAGGGUGGUGAGUCACUGUGAGACGUAAUGUUUAAUUUAAUCCAGCUAUUGAGUGAUAAAAUUUUUCAACUUCCUCCCUUUUCUCAAGACCUUAAAAAAAAAAAAAAACAACAGAACAUCUUCUCUGCCAACAUUUUUUUUCUUUUGAGAUGGAGUCUCGCUCUGUCGCCCAGCCUGGAGUGCAGUGGUGCGAUCUUAGCUCACUGUAACCUCCGCCUCCCGGGUUCAAUCGAUUCUCCUGCCUCAGCCUCCCCAGUAGCUGGGAUUACAGGCACAUGCCACCAUGCUUGGCUAAUUUUUGUAUUUUUAGUAGAGACGGGGUUUCACCAUGUUGGCCAGGCUGGAACUGCCAACAUUUUCUUCAUCCUAAUCAUUAAUCACUUCUUCACCCACAAAAUGUCCUUUGCUAGAACAUGAGUUCCAAGUGGAGACAGAUCACAGAAAGGGGAGGAAAACUCAGAAAUCCUUUGUUAUGAGAACUAUCGAAUUCUCCUCUUGCCUUUGUUCCCCUCAGGUAAAGAAAAAGAUUGCUAUUUUUCCAUCAAUAUCAUACCACAAAUAUCCACCUAUAUUUAUGUUGCCCUCAAGAGUUGUAAUUCUAUUAUCAUCCUACUCAAGAAAAAAGGUAGUGAGAAACAACUGGAAGUUACUGGUAUUUUGUUAUUACUAAGUACCAGGGCAUUUCUUGGGCAUUAGGGAUGAUUUAUUUAUUAUUUGUGUCCUUGUCCACUGUAAAAAAGGGAAGCUUAAAAACACAAGUGUGUGUUCAGGUUCCCAGCCUGAAUACAAAUUGUAUUCAAUUUCCGAGUGAAAUGUGUCCAGACAGCAGGAGAGAUCUACUUAUCUGUGAGACUGAAGAGCCUCCUUGGAACGAACUAAUCCUGAAAGAAGAACUACUUGUGAAGGGCAAACAGUUUAGUUCAAGAAAGCAAGGCUAUGCAAUACCACAGCAAACUUCAUUCAAUGAAGACUGAGCUCCAGCCAUGUCUUAAGAGCGGGAAGAAAAAGCAGCAAACAGGCUCUAUCUCCACAGGCUCUGGGGACAGUGACGGCUGCAGUGGCUCCUUCAGGAUGCUCAACCCUGGGCUCUGGAACACCAAGCACAGGCCUCAGCUCUUCCAUGAUGAAUACCUUUUAAAGGCAUCAGCUGCAGCAUCUCUGUUGCAUACAAAUUCACUAAGUACAAAAAAACUCCUAGACUUUUGGGCCCAUUGCUUAUUACAUAAAAUUGUUUCCAGCAGUAGGGUUUAAGACAAAACACAAGUGAAAUAAAAUGUACAAGUUUGUUCCAUAGAAACACUGAAAACACGGUUAUGUCCUUCUACAAUUCAGUAAAACAAACACUGCCACAAACACCCUCAGGUUCACAGUUUAGAUUUCAUUCAUUCAAUAAUUAUUUUCUAAGUACUUUCAUUACUGGGGAUGCAGUAAUGAAUAAUAAGGUCCCUGUUUUCUUGGAGCCUCUGUUCCAGCAGUGGGGCAGGGGAGACAGACAGCAAACAAAAUAAAUCAAUAUACCACGUUAGUAGUCACAUGGUUACUGGGUAGGGAAAGGAAAGCUUCUGCACACCUAAACCCCUUAAGAGCAAUUUGAGGCUGCUGCAAAUAUCACGGCCUCUUUUAGGGGAAGAUAAAAACUCUAAGUUUUAUAUAUAUAUAUAUAAAUAGAGAUGGGGUCUGGCCAUGUUACCCAGGUUGGUUGAUCUUGAACUCCUGGCCUGAAGUGAUCCUCCUGUCUUGGCCUCCCAAAAGUGCUGAGAUUAUAGGCAUGAGCCACUGUGCCUAGCCCUAACUUAUAUUUUUAAAAGUAACUUUUUUAUAAGUUGCAAAUUUCUAGUCAGACUCUUAAAAGUUCACAAUUCUAGGGAGCUGUUCUAAUUUUUAGUUACAAGGUAUAUGAAUAAGUACUUUAAGUCCAUACUAAAGGAAUAAGACCUACAUCAGGUGGGUACAUGUGCAGGUACAUAUAUGAAUAUAUGUUUACAGGCUCAUGUCAGAAGUGACACAGGUACAUAUUAUAUAUAAUGUUAAUCUGUAUUAUAUAUUAAUAUAAAAUUAUUUCUGGCUCUAAUGAUACAAAUCUUUCAUAUAAAUUCUUAGAUUAUAUCUGGUCUCUCUAAGAACUAUCAAUAUGCUAAUUUUCAGGCGGUUAAUUGGUACCCCCAAGUGCAUGGUAUUUCUAAGUAAACUUCUGUUCAGAAAAAAUACUUGUCACUUACAGCUAAGCAUAUACUGAUAAAGCAACAUGUAGAACAUAAUGCAGAGUGGAAUGCAACUGCCUUUUCAUGUCUAGAAGACAAGGUAAAAACGAGGUGUUUUUUUGUUGUUGUUUUCUGCUGCUGGUGCUCAGCGCUUGUUCACUGAAAACCACAGAUGGUCUUAAAGCGUGAAGCCUUGUGCUCCAACUUCCUAGAGACCUAACAAUUUCACUGGUGUCUUUUAAUGUUAAUGUCCGUAUUUUCCCUUCUCCACAUCCUACAAGGGCAUUGCUCCUUUUUAGGCUAUCCAGUCUGAAGUACGUUUUCCCAGUGGUGAACACAGGGCCAGAAGUCCUGGACAGCAUGAUUGAGUUGUGGUAGUCUGAAAAGCAAUGGUGGCAGGCAGUCAUGAUAUGCUCCCAUCGCCUCUUCAAAGACGCAAACGUCCAAAGUGACAAGGCUUUUCCAAAGGUCAGGCCGGCCGUGCACGGUGGCUCACACCUGUAAUCCCAGAACUUUGGGAGGCCGAAGCGGGUGGAGCAUGAGGUCAGGAGUCCAAGACCAGCCUGACCAACAUGGUGAAACCCCAUCUCUACUAAAAAUACAAAUACAAAAAUUAGUGGGGUGUGGUGGUGGGCACCUGUUAUCCCAGCUACUCUGGAGGCUGCGGCAGAGAAUUGCUUGAACCCGGGAGGCGAGGUUGCAGUGAGCCGAGAUCAAGCCACUGCACUCCAGCCUGGGCAACAGAAUGAGACUGUCUCAAAAAAAAAAAAAAACAGCCUCUGGUCAGAAAGAUGAAAAUGUGUCACCAUGGGGUUCUCCGGCAGAGAGUGGGUUCUCAGAUGAGAUUCCUGGGUCUCCUCAAUGACCCACCAUGCUCUGCUUGAAGCACUCCAGAAGCCAGGCGGCAGGUCUGGGGACAUGCACGGUGUGGCCUGCAGACACGUGUAUGUGCCAGGCAGGAUGUGCCGAGCAUCACAGCCCUCCCGAGGGCAGCUGCCUUCAACCUUUUCUUCCACCAGGAUCAUCUGUUUUUUCAGCAGAAAUGACUACUUAAACCAGACUGGCCUUAGAAAUGGCCGCUCCCCAGCACGUUCUAACUUUGUCUCUUUUCUUUCACUGGUCCCUGUCGGAACGGUGCUGUGAGAACACUGCCCUAGAGGCCACCAGAAUUCCCAGACUUCCUGCCUAUUAAGGAUAUCCAUGGGUAAUCCCCAGUAGCAAGUAAUUUAAAACUAAGUUGUAGGUGCCUUUGGAAAGCAUUAUGUAAUUUCUUAAAUUGGGUUUUUCUUCCUAGUUACAUUUUUCCCCCUCAGUUCAAUGAUUUGUAUUUUAACGCCAAGCAGGCUGAGCAGAAGGGGUAUCUGAAUACUGCUAGACGAGAAGCCAGCCUGGCAUUCAAAGUGACAGAGACCACCCAUAACAAGAGUGGGUUGAUCACUGAGAGCUGAUUAGGUGCUCAGGCUUCCAGUGGAACAUUCUUCUUCCUCUUGCACCAAAGCCAGCGACCUUUUUCCUAGGGAAGCAUUCUUCUUCUAUGUCAGUCUCCUAUCAUUGCCAUUUUCUGGUCCCAAGACUUCUUGCAUACACUAUCUUCUGGCAUGGCAUGUAUACUAAAACUUGUACACACUCUCAGAUCUUAAAAUACAACAAUUAUUUCUCUAAUUAGAUAGUUACCUAUUUUCUAUGACUUCAGUGAUUGCAAAUUCCAGCAGAAGCUACUGUUCUAAUAAGUUUUGAAUCAGAGGUCUUAAUGCAUAGUAAAAGAUUGCCUGGCUUUAAUCCUAAACCAUGUAAGGGUAGAUACUGUGAUGUGGAAGCCAAUGUUCUCGGGAUGAAUGAACAGAAGUCCCUCAACAUUUUUAGGGAUCAUCUUUCUGGCAUUUGCAGCUGUUUUCUAGGGUAAGCUACUUUCCAGAAAACCAAGUGAUAACGUGUUCAGACUUUCCUAAAUAAAUUUCCUAAGGGCCUACCCUCAGUGUUAAAAGAAAAGACCAAAUGUUUGAAAUAUCUCCCGAGGAAGAAUGAAACAGAAUGUUAGGAAUGGCGAACAGACAGGUGUGGCACAUGCAGUAGCCAGCAGCAUCAGUGAUGGACAGGAACACAGACGUCAUCCUUAGCCACGGUGCGCAGCUAGCACGGCUGCACUUAGGCUCACAGGAGGAAGACGGGUGGCCACUGUUUUGGUCUGACUCAUCUCAUCCAAUGCAAGUCCGGUGACAGGCUUUUUCAUGAUUUUACACAUGGAAAAGAAUGUAGGAAACGUUUGUCUCAACUCUUUUAAUUUCUUUUUUUAAAGAGUCUCACGCUGUCACCAGGCUGGAGUGCAGUGGCGUGAUCUCGGCUCACUGCAACCUCCACCUCCUGUUUUCAAGCGAUUCUCCUGCCUCAGCCUCCUGAGUAGCUAAGACAACAGGCGCGCGCCACCACACCCGGCUAAUUUUUGUAUUUUUAGUAGAGAUGGGGUUUCACCACGUUGGCCAGGCUGGUCUCGAUCUCUUGACCUCAUGAUCUGCCUGCCUCAGCCUCCCAAAGUGCUGGGAUUACAGGUGUGAGCCACCGUGCCCGGGCCUGUAAUUUCAUUUUUAAAUAGUUAAGAGCUUGCCCGUAUUUUUAGGACCUAUGAUCUGAAGAUGUUUUUUCUUUCCCUAAACAGGGAAACGUCCUCUCUGUAGUUACUGAGAGGAAGGUGAGGACCUCAGGCUCCCAGUGUAACUCCUGCUGAAAAACCUUAUACUUGACACAGUUCAUUUCUGGUCAUACAAAGUCCUGCUGUAGUUCUUCACUUGUUUUACUUUCGCUUUCAUCUUCAUUAGAAUAAUUUCCUGAAUCUUGGCUAGUUUGGGAACUGUAUUUUUUAUGAUCUUCAUCAGUUUGAUUAGUUUCUUCUACUGUAGCAAUUGUGCUUAUAUUUUCAAUUAUGAAACAUUUUUCGAUUUGUUCCUCAGAAGUUGAAAGCAGAAGAUUCUUCAAUGGCUGUUCAGAG
rnacentral:lncRNA from 1 species